ensembl:lncRNA
UCUAGCCAAGCAUUUCUUAGAAUGCUGGAUCAACGCACUGUUCGAUUUGGCCGUAGUGGAAACAUCACAGCAGACAGCUUCCGGAAAAGCUUCUUGGAGUGGGAAGCUGUCCGAUUCGAAGUGGACAAAUUAUGCCAGGAGGACCACUUUGACUGCCCAGCGUGCAGCCCAGACAUGCUUGCAGUAUCCGUUGAUGGAAACCGUAAGCACUACAGAUUCAAGAGUGCAGCAAGGUACUGUGUGUGCAUUGACGGUCCAUUACUUUGAAAGUAACUGCUGUGAAUUGAAAAAUCAUAUGAAUAUUUAAAGUUAAUAUGUAUCUCUUUUUAUUUAGAUCGGAGGAAAAAAAGCCAUCUUUGAUGGCGUGUUCAUCGCAAAUGAUGAUGAUGUCGCAAGAUUCGUGGACUAUGUCCAUACCUCAACCAGUCAUGUCUCUGGAAGAGGUGUCUGUGGAGGGCAAUGGUCAGCGGCGCGUGAAACUUCUCAGAAGUCCUCAGGAAAAACAGACGAGGAGGGCCUGGAACUCGCUGUAUGUCGUCAUGGGGUUCUCCUUCGUGCCCUCAAUAUGUUCAGGGGGGAGAUUUUUGCCUACCCCCUGUACCUCCAAAAGCAAAUGGCCUGUAAGCCAGUUAAAUUUUUUGCAAUGGAUGUGGCAUGCAAGUACUGGCCUUACCUCCAGAGAGUGA